UACAGAGGGGGCAAGCGUUAUUCGGAAUUAUUGGGCGUAAAGGGCGCGUAGGCGGCUACACAAGUGGCGGGUGAAAUCCCUCGGCUUAACCGAGGAACUGCCUGCCAGACUGUGUGGCUUGAGACCGGGAGAGGUGAGUGGAAGUUCCCAUGUGUAGCGGUGAAAUGCGUAGAUAUUGGGAGGAACACCAGUGGCGAAGGCGGCUCACUGGACCGGAACUGACGCUGAGGCGCGAAAGCGUGGGGAGCAAACAGGG
rnacentral:rRNA from 1 species